UAAUAUUUUUGAUUGAAAUAAUAAAAAUAAGGACGGAUCCCACAAAAACCCAAGAAGAAGAAGAAGCUGACAUCAUCCUAUGCGACACUUACACACCGGUGAGUAAAAAUCUGCACCUGUCAAAAAUGUUUUUGUACUCUAAAACCAAAAAUAACUCCAAAGUGUUACGUUAUAAAGUUAUUGAUAGUAGUUUUAGGACUUAAUGGCAUUAGAACUGUGAUGCGAAUGGUUGAAAACACAUUUGUAAAAGUUUUUUGCCGGAGAAUAUACGGUGGAAGCUAGCUAAAUUAGCCUCUUGGAGGCUAAUCGUACCUGUACACUGUACCUGUGCUUAAUACGUUUAAUUAGCCGUGAUAAAGUCACAUAAUAGUAUUUAUAGUCAUGCUUGUUGUUGCCACUUUGUAAAAUUGGAGGGUUGCUAAAACAUUCAAGGUGCCCCUAGGCUGUGAUGAUCUUUAAAAUUUUGUUUAUGAACCCUGUCUGAAUACACUGAUUGCAGCUAGGUCAUUUACUUGAAUUAAAAAUUAACUUGCAUCAGUUCAGGCAAAUUUCUUUCCUCCUGUCUAUGUUAUUUAUUGCUGUUGCAAGCCAGAUGAAGAGAAGUAAAGAACUAAGAACCUGAUCUUUGAACAGACAGGGACCAUAGGUCAGGAGCAGCCUGGGAUGAUACCAGAGAACCAGGAAGAUACUGUGAUAGUGCUUGAUCUUGCUCCUGUUUCUCCUGUUGUUGUCCCAUCUUCUCAGUCUUUUCAGAAGAAGAAAAGACCCAGAAGCACCUCUCCACCCACUCCGUCUUCUGUCUCACCCAUAGAUCAGCCACAUCUGCAUUCAUGUCACCUGCUGACCAUGCCAUCUCCUUAACUCAGAGUGGCGUUGGUGGAAAUGUAGUACACAAAAUCAAUUCCUGGGCGUAGAACUAAUGCGCUGAAAAAUCUGGGAUGAUACCUGGGAACCUGCAAGUAAAUCCUCUUAUGUUGCUGUCCCCCUAGUGCCACUUCCUUCAGACAGCGAACAAGUCCUUCCAUUAUGUUACUUUUUCUUUUUUGUAUUACAACGUAUUAAUUUCUUUUCUUUUUUCUACUGCAGUUUGACCAUUUUACGAUGUUUUCUGUGUAAUAUUGUUUUCGGUCAUUCACUGAAAUGAAUGUUAUGGUUGUAAUAUAGUAGUUAUGUAAGCUUAUGUUGGGCUGUUUACUGACACAUUUUUGUCAAGUCUGUAAAAGACUAAGUGAGGCUGAUUGAGUCACUGCAUCAGUCAGGUAUUGUGCUUGUAUUAAGUCUUGAAAUUUAGAACAGAAUUGUUUGUAGAUUUUGCUCAGUAARUAUGACCUAAAGUCUUAAAAACUUUAAACAUGGUGUUAUACACAUUUCUUUUUGAGUGUUUUUAAUGUUGAUGUACAAAGUAAAGUCUAAUACAUAACAAAAUAAGCAAAACUUUAUUUCAACAUAACUAAA